rnacentral:misc_RNA from 1 species
GGAGCAUAUAAAAAGCCAAAAGGACUUGAUCGCACCAUGAAUCCCAUGUGACGGAGCUCACUGAGAAUCACUGUCCGAGAAGAACUAGGACUCGAGAAGACUGCGACGUCGUUUCCCCCCGGGACUACCCUCUGCAACUCCACUUCACCUCCGUCCUCACUGUCAGCGUGUCAGAUUUACAAAUGGGAGAUCCACGGUUGGAGUCAGAAGAAGGCCUGAAUGAAGAUGAUUACAAGUUUGUUUUGUUGACCAAGGAUGGGAAAAUUAUAUGUAGGACACAAUGCUUAAAUCCUCCUGCAAAAGUGCCUCAACGUUGGAAUUUGCAUGAAAUUGUCCCAAGAUCUAGGGUAAAAAUCCCUCCUGAUCUGCCUCAUUGCUUUUUACGCCCUGCUGC